rnacentral:rRNA from 1 species
CUACGGGGUGCUGCAGUGGGGAAUCUUAGACAAUGGGGGAAACCCUGAUCUAGCCAUGCCGCGUGGACGAUGAAGGCCUUAGGGUUGUAAAGUCCUUUCAGCUGGGAAGAUAAUGACGGUACCAGCAGAAGAAGCCCCGGCUAACUCCGUGCCAGCAGCCGCGGUAAUACGGAGGGGGCUAGCGUUGUUCGGAAUUACUGGGCGUAAAGCGCGCGUAGGCGGACUGGAAAGUUGGGGGUGAAAUCCCGGGGCUCAACCUCGGAACUGCCUUCAAAACUCCCAGUCUGGAGUUCGAGAGAGGUGAGUGGAAUUCCGAGUGUAGAGGUGAAAUUCGUAGAUAUUCGGAGGAACACCAGUGGCGAAGGCGGCUCACUGGCUCGAUACUGACGCUGAGGUGCGAAAGCGUGGGGAGCAAACAGGAUUAGAUACCCGCGUAGUC